rnacentral:rRNA from 1 species
CUUAACUGGGCGUUAAGUUGCAGGGUAUAGACCCGAAACCCGGUGAUCUAGCCAUGGGCAGGUUGAAGGUUGGGUAACACUAACUGGAGGACCGAACCGACUAAUGUUGAAAAAUUAGCGGAUGACUUGUGGCUGGGGGUGAAAGGCCAAUCAAACCGGGAGAUAGCUGGUUCUCCCCGAAAGCUAUUUAGGUAGCGCCUCGUGAAUUCAUCUCCGGGGGUAGAGCACUGUUUCGGCAAGGGGGUCAUCCCGACUUACCAACCCGAUGCAAACUGCGAAUACCGGAGAAUGUUAUCACGGGAGACACACGGCGGGUGCUAACGUCCGUCGUGAAGAGGGAAACAACCCAGACCGCCAGCUAAGGUCCCAAAGUCAUGGUUAAGUGGGAAACGAUGUGGGAAGGCCCAGACAGCCAGGAUGUUGGCUUAGAAGCAGCCAUCAUUUAAAGAAAGCGUAAUAGCUCACUGGUCGAGUCGGCCUGCGCGGAAGAUGUAACGGGGCUAAACCAUGCACCGAAGCUGCGGCAGCGACACUGUGUGUUGUUGGGUAGGGGAGCGUUCUGUAAGCCUGUGAAGGUGUGCUGUGAGGCAUGCUGGAGGUAUCAGAAGUGCGAAUGCUGACAUAAGUAACGAUAAAGCGGGUGAAAAGCCCGCUCGCCGGAAGACCAAGGGUUCCUGUCCAACGUUAAUCGGGGCAGGGUGAGUCGACCCCUAAGGCGAGGCCGAAAGGCGUAGUCGAUGGGAAACAGGUUAAUAUUCCUGUACUUGGUGUUACUGCGAAGGGGGGACGGAGAAGGCUAUGUUGGCCGGGCGACGGUUGUCCCGGUUUAAGCGUGUAGGCUGGUUUUCCAGGCAAAUCCGGAAAAUCAAGGCUGAGGCGUGAUGACGAGGCACUACGGUGCUGAAGCAACAAAUGCCCUGCUUCCAGGAAAAGCCUCUAAGCAUCAGGUAACAUCAAAUCGUACCCCAAACCGACACAGGUGGUCAGGUAGAGAAUACCAAGGCGCUUGAGAGAACUCGGGUGAAGGAACUAGGCAAAAUGGUGCCGUAACUUCGGGAGAAGGCACGCUGAUAUGUAGGUGAAGUCCCUCGCGGAUGGAGCUGAAAUCAGUCGAAGAUACCAGCUGGCUGCAACUGUUUAUUAAAAACACAGCACUGUGCAAACACGAAAGUGGACGUAUACGGUGUGACGCCUGCCCGGUGCCGGAAGGUUAAUUGAUGGGGUCAGCGCAAGCGAAGCUCUUGAUCGAAGCCCCGGUAAACGGCGGCCGUAACUAUAACGGUCCUAAGGUAGCGAAAUUCCUUGUCGGGUAAGUUCCGACCUGCACGAAUGGCGUAAUGAUGGCCAGGCUGUCUCCACCCGAGACUCAGUGAAAUUGAACUCGCUGUGAAGAUGCAGUGUACCCGCGGCAAGACGGAAAGACCCCGUGAACCUUUACUAUAGCUUGACACUGAACAUUGAGCCUUGAUGUGUAGGAUAGGUGGGAGGCUUUGAAGUGUGGACGCCAGUCUGCAUGGAGCCGACCUUGAAAUACCACCCUUUAAUGUUUGAUGUUCUAACGUGGACCCGUGAUCCGGGUUGCGGACAGUGUCUGGUGGGUAGUUUGACUGGGGCGGUCUCCUCCUAAAGAGUAACGGAGGAGCACGAAGGUUGGCUAAUCCUGGUCGGACAUCAGGAGGUUAGUGCAAUGGCAUAAGCCAGCUUGACUGCGAGCGUGACGGCGCGAGCAGGUGCGAAAGCAGGUCAUAGUGAUCCGGUGGUUCUGAAUGGAAGGGCCAUCGCUCAACGGAUAAAAGGUACUCCGGGGAUAACAGGCUGAUACCGCCCAAGAGUUCAUAUCGACGGCGGUGUUUGGCACCUCGAUGUCGGCUCAUCACAUCCUGGGGCUGAAGUAGGUCCCAAGGGUAUGGCUGUUCGCCAUUUAAAGUGGUACGCGAGCUGGGUUUAGAACGUCGUGAGACAGUUCGGUCCCUAUCUGCCGUGGGCGCUGGAGAACUGAGGGGGGCUGCUCCUAGUACGAGAGGACCGGAGUGGACGCAUCACUGGUGUUCGGGUUGUCAUGCCAAUGGCACUGCCCGGUAGCUAAAUGCGGAAGAGAUAAGUGCUGAAAGCAUCUAAGCACGAAACUUGCCCCGAGAUGAGUUCUCCCUGACCCUUUAAGGGUCCUGAAGGAACGUUGAAGACGACGACGUUGAUAGGCCGGGUGUGUAAGCGCAGCGAUGCGUUGAGCUAACCGGUACUAAUGAACCGUGAGGCUUAACCUU